UAGGAUAUGGCAAGGCUUCCAGUGACCUU
rnacentral:piRNA from 1 species